rnacentral:tRNA from 2 species
GUUCAGAUAGUUUAUUUAGAAUAAUAAUUUGUGGUGUUAUAGGUGUUAAUUAACUCUGGAUC